GGAGGAAGGCUGGUUCGACCCUCCCACCCCGCGCCUGCCCCACUCGUGUGCGCACCCCCCAAAGCCCGACCAUGCGUGAACGAGGGGGGCUUAAAGGAGAGGGGGGUUGUUACCCACUGCACCCCCCAUCAGUGCUGCCCAAAAGGGGGAGCAGACCUCCAGCAGCACCCUCAAAACUCCCCCUUCCUUGUGUUUUUUAUCUCUCAUUUCCAUUUUUUCCGUGUAGGGAGCUGGAAGAAGCUGUGAGCAUAGGAAGGUGACCCACUGGGGACCGGGAAUGCCAUGGGUAUGGGUAGGGAGGUGCCUUCUGGAGCCGUGGGGCAGGGGGAGGGUGAGAGGUGCUUUGUCUCACAUUGGUUGGUUUCUGAUUUGGGCUCCUUUAGGGGAAUUUGGGGUGGGUUUGGGCCGUGGGAUGCCAUCAGGGCCUUGUAGGUGGCUCACAAUGGCAAGACCCCAAAAAACACGUAUGCAAGGGAGUCAGGAGGGUACCGUCUUCCCAGGGAGGGUCUGGGAAGGGGGUAUGAAAAUUUGACAUGCUGUUUUCUCUGUAGAUCAUGGAGGGAUCCUGUUGGAUGGGGUUUGGAGCCACCUGGUCUAGUGAAAGGUGCCCCUACACAUGGUGGGGAGUUGGAAGUAGAUGAUCUUUAAGAUCCCUUCCAACCCAAACUAUUCUGGAGUUCUAGGAUUCUCUGAAAACCGUUUCACGCCGGGACAAGGCCUGGAUGGGGGGGGGGGAAUUAUGGCCGGAGAAAUAACUCCUGGGACUGCUUUAGGUUUAACUAACAGAUUCCCCCGGCUGAACCCCUGCGCUGGGCCGAAUUUAGCAGCAGAAGAGAUAACCAAGAGAUAAGGACUGAUACCCUGGGAGGACAGCGGGAGACGGGCAGGCGGCCGAGGAAAGGGAGAGAAGCCGGAGACAGCGUUGGGAAGGGCUGCCUAUCCAGAUAUGCCGGGUUUUUGAGACGCAUCUUUCCCUCCUUUGCAAAAUCCCUGACGAUUUUCUCUCCCAAAGCAGCGAUUUGCUGAAGAUUCGUUGAAUUACUUCAGGAUAGAAGCGCUUUCCUUAAAAAAAAAAAAAAAUAAAGCCAAAAUACAAUUAAAAC